rnacentral:lncRNA from 1 species
CAGCACAUGCUUCUGAAUAAUUUUCCCCUAGCCUUCUUUCUGUACUUGCAACUUAUUUUAUUUUUAUUACAGAAUGUAAAUAUUUCUACUUCACCUGAAAUGGAAAAUAGCUAAACUUUUUCUGAUGCUAUAAAAUAAGUCACAAUCAAUCUCAUUAAUUGUUUCAUUCAAGCCCUUAAACUACUCAGAUAUUACUUCUACUUUAUUGCAUUAUUGUUUUUGUAGAAUUAGAACCAUCAAUGUCACUUUAAAAUUAUAAGAUUUAAAUAUAAUUCCAAUAGUAUUUCUGAAUAAAAACUUACAUUUUUUCUGUUUGGUGAGGACCAGUCAGACACCUGGACUUUUAAAAAAUGAUAUUUUAUACUUCUCUAGAAACAUUAAUCCAGAAUUAUCUUGAAGGACCUUUUAAGGUAAAUUGUUGCCUUAUGCAUAAUUCUGUGCAUAAAUCAGGGAAGAGGAUUAUAACACUCAUCAUUCACUUUGAGAAAUAAUUGGGAAACUUCAGUGAUUUCCACAGUAUUGCACAUGAUCAGAUUUGGUGUAAUAAUGAAAAAAAAAAAAAGCCCUUCCACAAAGUUAUGAGAAUUUUAAUGAAUUCAGGUAGAUAAUAUGAGAAUAUUUUUUCAGUACUAUGAUGUCCUUAGCCUCACACCCUGAUAGCAGUUCAGCUCUGACCUGGUAAUGAAUCCACACCAAAGCCUUUCAUCCCAGCAUGCCAAGCUCUUGGGAGUUCUGAAGGACUUUGCUGCAGACCCACCUUAAAUAGCAACUCAGGGGAAGGAUCCUGACUAUAGUGGCCUGGAUUUCACAUCUAACCAAUGACCCAAGCUAACCUCAGUUAGCUUGUGAAGUCUUGCAAGAUCACAGCCUGAGAUAAAGGAUUAAGAAAACAGGAGAGAACUCUUGUAUGUGCUAAAAGUCAGAAUAAGGUUUCUGGGUCCUAUCAGAAAAGAAGAUGCAGAUUUUUGGAGUGAAUGUGGCUCUUUGGCUACAUUAUGCUCAUGCAAAGUGAACAUGACCUGUUGAUUGUUGACAACGUGGGUAUUUUCAGGCUCUCCUCAGGGCUUUCUUUAACUGUGAGUACAAAAGAAGUUUCUGCAGACUUGGAGCCUGGCUGUUACUCUCCUUCAACAGCAAGAUCUGCCUGACUUCUCUCUUCUGGUUCUAUUAACAUUCAUUAGUGAUGAUGAAUUCCUAUGAUCUGAAAUGUUGCCGAAGUUUAACUCUGACCUGUUUGAGCUCUCAUUUUCUUACCAUGUGGUUAUGAUUUGGGGGCAUUGAAGCCAGU